rnacentral:rRNA from 1 species
AUGGACAUCGAUACGCUCUGUCCAUGUUGUCGACGACUUGAUGAAGAUGGUGGCCAUGUUUUUCUCAAAUGCAAGUUUGCAAGGGCCUGCUGGCGUGCGGCAAUCCUAGAAGAGCAGCGUCUCAAACUUGUAGCAUGUUCCUCAGCUCAAGAAGUAAUGGACUGCAUCUUCCAGUUUGAGGACCAAUUGGCUAUGCAAGCGAUUCAAUUUGCCCGAGAUGCUGGAAUGAGCCGGGUCAUCUUUGAAACUGAUGCUACAAAUUUGAAGGAUGCCCUGUGUAGCAAUGCAUACGAUCUCUCACAGCACGGUAGUAUCUUUAGGAAGGCCAAGUAUAUGCUGUAUACUAGUUUUAUCGAGUACAAAGCUGUAUCUUGUGUCCGCAAAUGUAAUAGUGUUGCUCAUAAAUUAGCGGGUCAGGGUGCGUCUAUGGAACCUGGUGCUCAUAUGUUGUGGCAUGGUACGGUUCCAGACUUUGUAAUCUCUGAUGUAGCCAGCGAGUAUGUUGUGCUAGGUGGUUAA